UACGGAGGGGGCAAGCGUUGUGAGGCAUUACUGGGCGUAAAGCGCGUGUAGGCGGUCGAGCAAGUCAGAUGUGAAAGCCUUCCGCUCAACGGAAGAAGUGCAUUUGAAACUACUUGGCUGGAGUUCGGGAGAGGAGAGUGGAAUUCCCGGUGUAGAGGUGUAAUUCGUAGAUAUCGGGAGGAACACCGGUGGCGAAGGCGGCUCUCUGGCCCGAUACUGACGCUGAGACGCGAAAGCGUGGGGAGCAAACAGG
rnacentral:rRNA from 1 species